rnacentral:rRNA from 1 species
GACGAACCGAGCGAACGUUGUUCGGAAUCACUGGGCUUAAAGGGCGCGUAGGCGGGCGGUUAAGUCUGCGGUGAAAUCCUCCAGCUCAACUGGAGAACUGCCGUGGAUACUGGCUGUCUCGAGGAAGGUAGGGGGCGUGUGGGAACUAUCGGUGGAGCGGUGAAAUGCGUUGAUAGUCGAUGAGGAAGCUCCGGUGGCGAAGGCGACACGCUGGACCUUUUCUGACGCUGAGGCGCGAAAGCCAGGGGAGCAAACGGG